rnacentral:rRNA from 1 species
UACGGAGGGUGCAAGCGUUGUUCGGAAUCACUGGGCGUAAAGCGCGUGUAGGCGGUUUGUUAAGUCUGGUGUGAAAUCCUGGGGCCUAACCCCAGAAGUGCAUUGGAUACUGGCAGACUAGAGGACGGGAGAGGAGAGUGGAAUUCUUGGUGUAGGGGUGAAAUCCGUAGAUAUCAAGAGGAACAUCGGUGGCGAAGGCGGCUCUCUGGCCCGUUUCUGACGCUCAGACGCGAAAGCGUGGGUAGCAAACAGG